rnacentral:rRNA from 1 species
CGCGUAGGCGGGUGGUCAAGUCAGUCGUGAAAUCUCCGGGCUCAACCUGGAGGGGCCGGCUGAGACUGAUUGUCUUGAGGGAAGCAGAGGAGUCUGGAAUUCCCGGUGUAGCGGUGAAAUGUGUAGAGAUCGGGAGGAACACCGGUGGCGAAGGCGGGGCUCUGGGCUUUUCCUGACGCUGAGGCGCGAAAGCGUGGGGAGCAAACG